rnacentral:rRNA from 1 species
GACUCUCGGCAACGGAUAUCUUGGUUCUCGCAUCGAUGAAGAACGUAGCGAAAUGCGAUACUUGGUGUGAAUUGCAGAAUCCCGUGAACCAUCGAGUCUUUGAACGCAAGUUGCGCCCGAGGCUAUCCGGCCGAGGGCACGCC